rnacentral:rRNA from 1 species
GGAAGGAUCAUUACUGAAUUGUCAAACGGGCUGUUGCUGGUCCUCGAACGGGGGCAUGUGCACGCUCUGUUUACACAUCCACUCACACCUGUGCACCCUCUGUAGUUUUACGGUCUGGGGGACCCUGUCUUCCUUCCGUAGUUCUACGUCUUUACACACACACACUGUAAUAAAGUCUUAUGGAAUGUAUGCCGCGUCUAACGCAACACAAUACAACUUUCAGCAACGGAUCUCUUGGCUCUCGCAUCGAUGAAGAACGCAGCGAAAUGCGAUAAGUAAUGUGAAUUGCAGAAUUCAGUGAAUCAUCGAAUCUUUGAACGCACCUUGCGCCCCUUGGAUAUUCCGAGGGGCAUGCCUGUUUGAGUAUCAUGAACACCUCAACUCUCAUGGUUUGCCGUGAUGAGCUUGGACCUUGGGGGUUUUGCUGGCCUGUGGUCGGCUCCUCUCAAAUGAAUCAGCCUCCCAGUGUUUGGUGGCAUCACGAGUGUGAUAACUAUCUACGCUCGCGGUUUUCCACCAGGUAACCUUUGGUGACAAAGGUUCGCUGGAGCUCACAGAUGUCUCUCCUCAGCGAGGACAGCUUUUUAACGUUCGAUCUCAAAUCAGGUAGG